UGUUCAUUAAUUUGCCAAUUGACGACAAGCAUUUCAUUUCGCUUGGAGUGGCAGUGCCCCCUACAAUUUGAUUUGCCAACAAGUAAAUUAUGUUGCCAAAAAAUAGCAACAAAAAUCUAAAAACCAAGACUUGCAACCUUGCGCGCCCCGUGAAUCAUUAACCAUAAAUUGUGAGCCUGUUCAGUGCCUCGAUAUGGUCACGCCAGCACGGAGCAUCGAGCAUCAUCCACAUGACCUCAAUUGUCGUGCGCUAGUCGCGACUUUUUGGCGUGAUUUUGUGCUGACAACCUUGGCCUUAGAACGAACCAUUAUAAUGGAACAGCAACCGAUAUACGGACUGCUAAACAUCUGUUAACAGGCGAAACACAGCGCCCAACCCCAACCCCAGCCCCAACCAACACUAACACACACAC